CGCGUAGGCGGCCUGACAAGUCAGAUGUGAAAGCCCCGAGCUUAACUCGGGAAUUGCAUCUGAAACUGUUUGGCUUGAGUCCUGGAGGGGAUAGUGGAAUUCCCAGUGUAGCGGUGAAAUGCGUAGAUAUUGGGAGGAACACCUGCGGCGAAGGCGGCUAUCUGGACAGUGACUGACGCUGAGGCGCGAAAGCUAGGGGAGCGAACGGGAUUAGAUACCCCGGUAGUCCUAGCUGUAAACGAUGGGCACUUGGUGUUGGGGGUAUUGAGUCCCUCGGUGCCGGAGUUAACACGUUAAGUGCCCCGCCUGGGGAGUACGGUCGCAAGACUGAA
rnacentral:rRNA from 1 species